rfam:Ornithorhynchus anatinus chromosome 4, whole genome shotgun sequence.
CCCCUCUCAGGGUUGCACCUGGAGAGUUUCCAAUACUCUACCAGUCUUGACUAAGAGAGGGAGAAUCAAGCGGAGGCCUAGACAUUCCAUUCCUAGCUUGGGCAGUGGCUAGCAAGUGGAAGACAAUCUGCUACAAGU